ACAGUCUCAUAGCACUAACACCUCCAGGGUGAGGCUCAUCCAUUGCACUGCCGGUGUGCUGACCCCUGCGAUUUCCCCAAAUGCGGGAAACUCGACUGCAUAAUUUGUGGUAACUAGUAGGUGAUCCUGACUGCUUCCAG
rnacentral:snRNA from 13 species